CGGUGUUCUGUAGGGGUGGAAAACCAGGUAGUUAGUAUGUACAAUGCGAAGGCCAGCUGAGGGGGGAGCCUCGGGGACCUCGGGGCAGAGAUGGCGCUAGGACCUGGAGGAGCCAGCAGUGACUCUGCAGCACAACUAGGUGCACAUCCUCCCAGCCUCGGAGACUCUGCAGGGCUGAGGGAGAGACGAACAGAGGGCAUGACCUCAGAGCUGAAAAGCCCAAGACCCAGGGUCAGGAGAGAGCUGCCACCAACCUCACCUCUCUCAGCAGCGAAUUCAUUUUUCUUCUGAAUCAGGAGAGACCAGCCGGAUGGAACAUACUGAGACUGAUCCAGAGACGCUUGUGUGGGACACAAGGACACCUAAGCUGGAGUGGUCCAAGCAGUGCUGAUAAACUCAAAAACAAAAGCAAUGGUAACACAAAUGCCUGUUAUAUUCCACAGAGAGUGGACACAGUAGCCAUCCUGUGGUCCUAGGAUGUAGGUGAAUACUGAGGAAAACAGCGAUGGCCUGGACAGAUCUCUCCAGCAUGAUUGAAGUGUAAACACUCAAUGUCUAGUGAAAGCCCUUAUACCGCGUUCAGAAGCAGGUGAAAAAUCCACCCUACCAUCCUCAAAGGUGAUGAGCCUGGACCCAAAGCAAGGGGAAAAUGAGGUCAGCAGAGUGAUCGGCUUCCGGGAAAGGAGAGUGCUGUUGAGGGAGGGGCUCACAGCAGCCUGGGGUUCCAUGCAGCUCUCUCUUGACCUGAGGAAUGGUCUCAGAGCAUCUGGUUUCUUUGUCUUUCUUUAUGUUUACUGGGAGUUAUACAUAAUGUGUUCACAAUAAAAAUAGCUUUAGAA